UUUAUUCAGCAGAACAUAAGAUAAAAUUGGAAUGAUACAGAGAAGAUUAGCAUGGCCCCUACACAAGAAUGACAUUCAAAUUCAUGAAGCAUUUUAUAUUUUU